GGUGAACGCUGGCGGCGUGCUUAAGACAUGCAAGUCGAACGGCAGUCUUCGGACUGUAGUGGCGCACGGGUGAGUAACGCGUAACUGACCUACCCCAAAGUCGCGGAUAACGAUUCGAAAGAAUCGCUAAUACGUGAUGUGCUGUCAGAUUGUGUUCUGCCAGUAAAGAUUGAUUGCUUUGGGCUGGGGUUGCGUUCCAUCAGCUAGUUGGUGGGGUAAAGGCCCACCAAGGCGACGACGGAUAGCCGGCCUGAGAGGGUGGCCGGCCACAGGGGCACUGAGACAAGGGUCCCACUCCUACGGGAGGCAGCAGUUAGGAAUCUUCCACAAUGGGCGAAAGCCUGAUGGAGCGACGCCGCGUGAGGGAUGAAGGUCUUCGGAUCGUAAACCUCUGAAUCAGGGACGAAAGACACUUCGGUGGGAUGACGGUACCUGAGUAAUAGCACCGGCUAACUCCGUGCCAGCCGCCGCAGUAAAAC
rnacentral:rRNA from 1 species